rnacentral:sRNA from 1 species
CUCUGGGAAAUGUCCUCUGUCUUUCUCAGAUAUUCCAGGAACCUAAGAGCGCACACCAGGUGGAGCAGGUGCUGCUGGCGUAUUCCAGGUGCAUCCAGGCCUGUGGCCAGGAGAGAGGCCAGGUGACAGGGGCCCUGCUCCUCUCUGUGGUUGGAGGAAAGAUGAGUGAAGGGAUCAACUUCUCUGACAACCUAGGCCGGUGUGUGGUGAUCGUGGGCAUGCCCUUCCCCAACAUCAGGUCUGCAGAGCUGCAGGAGAAGAUGACCUACUUGGAUCAAACCCUCGUGAGUGACCCCAGUGUGUCACAGAGGGGGUGACAGGGAGAGUAGGCAGUGGGUGGGAGUGGCAUCACCCCCAGGGCUGAUACAGCCAGGCCUUCCCUGCUGCGCUGGUGUCUCCUGCCCCCUCCGGAAGCUUGGAUGCCCCUCCACACCCUCUUGAUCUUCCCUGUGAUGUCACCUGGACCCCUGCUGCUGGCAUUGGCCAC